rnacentral:rRNA from 1 species
AGAAUCAACGCUGGCGGCGUGCCUAACACAUGCAAGUCGAACGAGAAAGUGGAGCAAUCCAUGAGUAAAGUGGCGACCGGGUGAGUAACACGUGACUAACCUACCUUCGAGUGGGGGAUAACCUCGGGAAACCGGGCUAAUACCGCAUAAUGCCUUCGGGUUAAAGGAGCAAUUCGCUUGAAGAGGGGGUCGCGGCUGAUUAGCUAGUUGGCGGGGUAACGGCCCACCAAGGCGAUGAUCGGUAG